rnacentral:misc_RNA from 1 species
AUUUUUAUUUUAUAAAAUAUUGUAUAUAAUAAAUAAUAGGUGCACUAAAAUUUAUACAUAUAUAUUUUUAUUUAUUAUUAAUAAAAUUAAAAUAUAUAAAUAAUAAAAUUAAUUUUUAAUAUUUUGAUUCAAUUUCUUUUUUAAUGAAAAGUUCGCAUAACCAUCUAAAUGAUUAUUGCUAAUUUAUGACUAAUAGAAGUAUCAUCUUUAACGUUUUUAUCAUUUAAAUAGUGUGUACAGAACAAUCAGUGACAAUUUUCUACUGACGUUUAUUGUUUAUUGUUUAUUCUUAAACUCAAAAAUAAUUAAUAAUGAAUGACGAUCCUCGAGAAGUACUUGUUCUUCUUAAUUCUUUAGGAUUUGUUGGAAUUACCGCUCAACAACUUAAAGCAUUUAUGAAAGAUUUAAAGUUAUAUAGGAAGAUAAAAGACCGUGAAAGACAACAAAAAAAAGAAGAAAUUAAAAAAAAAAUAAUAAAUAAGCAAAAAAAUAUGAUUAAAGAAAUUCUUAGAGAACAAAAAACAGAGUUUCAUUCAGUUGAAAAUACUGUAUCAACUAAUUCUUCUAGUUCUUAUAUUGAUGACACCAUUGUAAAGGUAAAGUUGACAAAGUUGUCGUGUGAUAAAGAAAAUAGAAAUUCUAUAAAUUUCAAAGAAAAUUAUGCAAAUACAAAACACAAAAUGGAUAUUAUACAAUCAAAAUCUAUGAAAACACAAAAUCAUUCUAAUGUUAAAUCUGACAUUGUAUCGGAUAAUGAUGAUGAUAGAUUUUAUGUAAAAAAUAAAAGUAGUUACGAAGAAUGUUUAAAAAAAGAUUUUCAUAUAGAAACACAUGAUAAAACAAAUAUGCAACAUGAUAAAAUAUUAAAUCAAAAAAAAUUAUUAUCCCAACAAUCUUUUCGUCCUACGAGUGCACCAAAUAUUUUAGAGCACCAACAUUACAAAUAUGUUACAAGUAGUCAAACAAAAAGUACAUCAUCUACAAAAAACACUCAUUCUGGAACAAAAUCAUACCAUGGAGAUUACAACCAGAAGCUCAAAAAAGUAAAUAUGUUGGAAAGACUGAUCCUGUUAUAUUAUAUCAAAAAUAUCAACAAGAAUGGAAACAAAUGUCAUUUCCUGGAGAAGCAAAACAUGCAAAUGUAAGAUGGGCAAUUCGUGAAAAAAUGUUAGGUACAGAUCCUCAUCCAAUAGUAAGGAUUAUUUUUAUAUCAUUAUAUUUAUCACUUGAUAUGUUUAAAUUUUAUGUUUAAUGUUAUUAAUAUUUACAUUUGUAGCCUCUUCCUAGAAAAUCAACUAGUAUGCCAACAUUGAAGAAGAAAUAAUUUUAUUUGUAA